GGGGAAUCUUGGACAAUGGGCGCAAGCCUGAUCCAGCAAUGCCGCGUGGGUGAAGACGGCCUGCGGGUUGUAAAGCCCUUUAGGCGGGGAGGAACGACGGGACGCGAAUACCGUUUCGAAGUGACGUUACCCGCGGAAUAAGCACCGGCUAACUCCGUGCCAGCAGCCGCGGUAAUACGGAGGGUGCGAGCGUUAAUCGGAAUUACUGGGCGUAAAGCGUGCGUAGGCGGUUUGGUCAGUCGGUCGUGAAAGCCCCGGGCUUAACCUGGGAACGGCGGUCGAGACGGCCAAACUUGAGUGGGCUAGAGGAUCGUGGAAUUCCGGGUGUAGCGGUGAAAUGCGUAGAGAUCCGGAGGAACACCGAUGGCGAAGGCAGCGGUCUGGGGCCACACUGACGCUGAGGCACGACGGCGUGGGGAGCAAAC
rnacentral:rRNA from 1 species